GUGCAAACUCGAUCACUAACUCUGCAUGAUGUUGCAGAAGUGAGGGGAACCAGGUUUGCUAAAGUAAUUGUGGUGAUAGAAAUGUAUUAGCCUCAGAAGCUACUUAACUGAGCUGACCCAUUCUGUCCCAGUACAGUA